rnacentral:lncRNA from 1 species
UACUGUCUCCCUUUAGAGUUAAUUGCAUUCUCUGAGAGGACUAAGAAGGUCAAACAAAAGGCAGUUGAAAGAUGUUGGUAAUCAGGAUGGUAGAGGCAGUAAUCACAGCAUUUGCUUAUCAGUUGCAUAGCAGUGGCUGUUAAUUGCAGAGCCUUUACGUGCAACAUCUUACUUAGUUCUCACAACAACUUUGGAGCAUGUCUUCCUUGACCUUGAAGCCUCUCUAACCCAGUGGUACACCUUGGAGUCACUGGAUGGUGAACACUGAUUAAGAAGAGAGAGCACAUAUCAUGCAGAGACCAUGGGCCCUGGACCAGAAACAUUGAGGAUAGAGAGAGGCAAAGCCAGCAUCCCGGAGCUGGCUCCUUUCCCCAGGGUUUUGGAGCGGUGCAGUCUUCCCUAGAAAUUAAUUGAUAAAGACUGAGUUCCUCACUUGAUAUUUUGAAAGAGAGCUGCUGCUAGCUUAUAUACCGUGAAUUGCCAAAUGUCACUGCCUCUGAGUGGACAGAUUAUAUAAAAGACACUUCCUCCUGGUAUGGCUAGCAGAGGAUGCACUGGAUUUCAGCUCCUAGUCCUCCCUUGACUCCACCAAGCUGGGUAUUUCUUUGCAGUAUACAAUCUGCACAACUGUACGUGGUUUGACAACAUGCAUAAGCAUAAGGCUAACAACUUGUGAAACAAACUCUGAAGCCAGGAGUGAAUAUAUUAAUGCAGAUGGCAGAGAAGGUGAGCAGCGUGGUCAGACAGAAGCAUCACAGAGACUGCAAGAAGAAUGCUUUAGACCAGCUCAUAGUAGAGACUUUACCUCUUGGCUGUACUGAUUAAGGGUUAUCACCAGUUUCUUAGGACUUGGAAACUUGGAAACACAUUGCUUGUCCUUUCCAGUUUGUUACAGAGUGUGUGUGUGUGGUCCUCAUUAUAAGGUGUAGCUUCAGUCAUUCUCAUUCAAUCCUGAAGCUGUGGAUUCCUGUGUGGCUGUUCUGUUGAAGAUUCUGGAGCCCAGAACAUUCAAAACCAGCUUUCCUUAGAGUGAAAGGAUGUUUGCACAAACAUUGAAGCAUGGAAGGGAGUUUGGGGGUAAGGGAGGGGUGGGGAAUUCCAGGAAGAGGAAAUCGGUUAGACAAGGGUGUGGAGGCACACCAAAUUGUGGAUUCCUUUAGGAAGUGGUUUUUUUUUUCUGUGAGGAAGAUUGUCCCAGAGCGAACAUCUGUGCUGAUCUUCCUCUAUUUUGUAUAUGGGAUGCUGCCACAGCAUGGCUUGAUGAGCGGUGUGCAGGUCCGAGCCUGGGAUCCAAACCCACAAACCCUGAGCUGCCGAAACAGAGUGUGCAAAGUUAACCACCACACCACUGGGCCGGCCCCAGAGAGAAUUUUUCCACUUCAUUAAAUCUGAGUGUCCCUUCAGAUGCCGAGGUGAUUAUAGCACAGUCUCUGUUCUGGAGAAGCUAGAACCAUUUCAUAUCUACCCUAUUUGAUCCUCAACAAAUUCCGUAAGUUAGGUAGGAAAG